UACAGAGGGUGCGAGCGUUGUUCGGAAUUAUUGGGCGUAAAGGGCGCGUCGGCGGUGCGGUAAGUCACCUGUGAAAUCUCCUGGCUCAACUGGGAGCUUGCAGGCGAAACUGCCGUGCUGGAGUGUGGGAGAGGUGCGUGGAAUUCCUGGUGUAGCGGUGAAAUGCGCAGAUAUCAGGAAGAACACCCGUGGCGAAGGCGGCUCUCUGGGACGGUACUGACGCUGAGACGCGAAAGCGUGGGGAGCGAACAGG
rnacentral:rRNA from 1 species